UACGGGGGGGGCAAGCGUUGUUCGGAAUUACUGGGCGUAAAGGGCUCGUAGGCGGCCAACUAAGUCAGACGUGAAAUCCCCAGGCUCAACCUGGGAACUGCGUCUGAUACUGGAUGGCUUGAAUCCGGGAGAGGGAUGCAGAAUUCCAGGUGUAGCGGUGAAAUGCGUAGAUAUCUGGAGGAAUACCGGUGGCGAAGGCGGCAUCCUGGACCGGCAUUGACGCUGAUGAGCGAAAGCUAGGGGAGCGAAUGGG
rnacentral:rRNA from 1 species